UAGGGAAUCUUGCGCAAUGGGCGAAAGCCUGACGCAGCAACGCCGCGUGCGGGAUGAAGGCCUUCGGGUUGUAAACCGCUUUCAGUGGGGACGAAAACAGACGGUACCCACAGAAGAAGCCCCGGCCAACUACGUGCCAGCAGCCGCGGUAACACGUAGGGGGCAAGCGUUGUCCGGAUUUAUUGGGCGUAAAGAGCUCGUAGGCGGCUCAGUAAGUCAGGUGUGAAAACUCCAGGCUCAACCUGGAGACGCCACCUGAUACUGCUGUGGCUAGAGUCCGGUAGGGGAGCAUGGAAUUCCUGGUGUAGCGGUGAAAUGCGCAGAUAUCAGGAGGAACACCAAUGGCGAAAGCAGGUAACUGGACUAUUACUGACACUAAGCUGCGAAAGCUAGGGGAGCAAACAGGAUUAGAUACCCCCGUAGUCCCUGAGCGGGCUGGCAAGGCGCAU
rnacentral:rRNA from 1 species